rfam:Bacillus galactosidilyticus strain PL133 scaffold000117, whole genome shotgun sequence.
UGAACUUAACAAGAAAGGCCUCAUAUAUAAUGGGGAUAUGGCCCAUAAGUUUCUACCUGAUCACCGUAAAUGAUCAGACUAUGAGGAAGUGGAACUUGGGG